AGUGAACGCUGGCGGUAGGCCUAACACAUGCAAGUCGAACGGCAGCACAGUAAGAGCUUGCUCUUACGGGUGGCGAGUGGCGGACGGGUGAGGAAUACAUCGGAAUCUACUUUUUCGUGGGGGAUAACGUAGGGAAACUUACGCUAAUACCGCAUACGACCUACGGGUGAAAGCAGGGGAUCUUCGGACCUUGCGCGAUUGAAUGAGCCGAUGUCGGAUUAGCUAGUUGGCGGGGUAAAGGCCCACCAAGGCGACGAUCCGUAGCUGGUCUGAGAGGAUGAUCAGCCACACUGGAACUGAGACACGGUCCAGACGCCUACGGGAGGCAGCAGUGGGGAAUAUUGGACAAUGGGCGCAAGCCUGAUCCAGCCAUACCGCGUGGGUGAAGAAGGCCUUCGGGUUGUAAAGCCCUUUUGUUGGGAAAGAAAAGCAGCAGGUUAAUACCCCGCGGUACUGACGGUACCCAAAGAAUAAGCACCGGCUAACUUCGUG
rnacentral:rRNA from 1 species